UACCUGGCUGCCGCCGCCGGGCACCGCGGCCGGCCCGGAGCCGGGGCCGGGCGGGCUCCGCGGGGGUCCCGGCCGGCGCCGGGCCAGGGGCGUGUGAAGCCGGGCAGCUCCGUGCUGAGGGGGAGACGAGGCUUCCUGCCCUGACGAGGAGGGCAAAAUUCAGCUCCUGAUCUCUACUAACUACAAAGAGUGACAAGGACCAUCCAUAUUCCACCUCCUAGAUACCUCCUCUUAAUACUAUGUGUAUCACUACUGCUGGCAGCUGAGGGGAGGAAAAGAAGCUUUCUAGAAUGUAAAAUGACCAAGAAAGGAAAAAAAAAGAAAUAUACCAUAGAACAUAAUGCAAAGAGCCCAGAAAACUGAAUGAAACCUGCUUGUGUUGCCGUUGAUGAGAUUAGCACAGAGGCUUCCAAGCAUAUAAAACUGAAAAACACAUUAGAAGAGAUCUUCAGCCUAAGAAAAAUGUCCUGGACAGAGCAGUUCCAGCUUUGACUAAGAAAAACAUUCUCCAAAAUCUCAAAUAAUACCAUAUGGAAAUAUAAUGAGUAUUUAACAUUAAUAAUCACCAAGAAUUCAUUCGUGUUCACAAGGAAAGUCCUACUUAAAAAUGAAAGCACAAUACCUAAAUUAUAUAAUGAAGUCUCCAAAGCAACCCCUUGGCCUUAUACCAAGCUCUGCCAAAAGGAAAUGCACUUGGGACACCGACUGAGUUUCACAGCUAGAGGAGCUGUUCAGGAAAUGCCUGGAACUGAUUGAAGAUGGUGAAUUUCACCAGAAAAGAAGAGGUCAAACUAAGACACAAAUUUAUAUGUGGGUGAAAGAUCCAGGUAGCAAUGACCGACAUACUAUUGUAAACAGUACUGGAAACAGUUUCCAAUCAAUACUGCCAGAAACAAGUAAAAAAUUCCCAGCAUUUAAACAAAAUUAAAAUGCAAGGCAACACUGCAUGAAAUACUUGAAUCAUAUCUCUGAAAUAUUUAUUGCAAAAAUGUUCAAUAAUGUGCACUGCCUCCAAAAGGAGGUUGCUUACCAAUAGCUCAGAUUCUUCAGGGUAUGCUGUCUGCAGGUAUACUGCCACUCCCAGUGUACAAAUGCCACAAGCAUUCAAGCUUGGAGAUGUUUUUCACAUUUUAAACUCCUGCAGAACAAGUGUAUAUAGGGUAAUAUUCAGGAAUGUUGAAAACAGUUUGUUCACAUACUCUUAAUUUCUCUCAGUUGCAGAAUUGGCCAAUAUGCAAGGACUCUUAAGGAAGCAGAGAUGGAGGGUGGAUGUUUAGAACUCCAUUUCUUAUAAGCAAUUCCGUCUAGAGAAUGGUUGAUAGAUGCUCUCAUCCAUACUCUGUGAGCUGUGCCUCACUUCUAGUUUAUGGUGGCAUUUUCAAGUGAUAAACAGCUUUAUAGUUUUCUGUCAAAUGCAACAACACAUCUCUGGCUUGAUGCCUGAUAAAGGUGUGGAAAUAAUGGAGGUACCUAGGAAGGAGGUAGUCUUUAACCAGUCUGCAGGAGAUAGAUGGGCCUCUGACAGAGUGCUCCUGAGCAGUAAUGGCAGAUCUACCUUAGCAGUCUUGGAACAGAUCCUGACACAGCCCUUUAUCUGGGGAAGCAGUUUCUAGGGGGAGGAGGGAGCUGUGCCUUCAUGUCUUUAGACAAGCAACAAAACCAGCUGUUGAAAUAAUCAAAAGAGCCACAGUUGCUGGCUGGACUAAUAAUAGCCUAGGCCAGACAGAGAAAUCUGUGAUGAUUUGGCUCAGAUUGGAACACACACACAAAGGCUUCUGCUGGGUUGCUGGGUCCAGAGGAAGAAGGAAACAAAGAGGAGAGUGGGAUGGAACGGGCCCAACCAUUUCAAGUGCAGCAGGAUUUAAAGCCAUGUGGGAAAUUCUUUCCCAAAAGUCAAGGAAUGAAGGUCCUCUUUCGCUUUUCAGCAAAUAAAUGGGUAAAAAUUAUCCAAUAUAAUUAAAAGAAGAAGAAAAGCACAUUUAGAAGGAAGUUUCAAAUGUUUUAUUAAAAAGCAAAACAAAACAAACAGCAAAAAAAACCCAAAAAGCAGCAGAAUACUUGCCGUAGUCUCAGGUAGUUGAGAGAAACACAUCAGCAUGUCGCAUAUGGGGCUCUAAAGCUCGUCAUGAAGUACAAUGAAUUUGUGUCUUACAAGAAGGGUGAAGGAAAAGUAAUUCCAUUCUUGUACUUUUGUGAGAAUCUCUGCUGUGUACAUGUGCGUAGGAAUAAUAAGACUUUUGUAUGCUUUUCCAAGAAAACAAACCUUACUGUCUCAAAAGUUUGUAAUUUGCUUGUUAAAAUCUGGAAAUUUCUCACUGAAAUUCUACUUUAUCAUAUGCAUAUUUGCUGUAAUAUACAUAGUUGGAAUUUCACAAUGGUAGUGAAUAAGAAGGACACAACUAGGUAAAUGGGUCUUUGUACUUACUCUCUGCUGAAUGCAUACAAUUAGUAACCUUGGCAGUUACUAUUUUUUAAGUAUGUUGUUCUGAUUUGCAUUCCUGGAAAUACCACUUUGUUUGGCCUUGCAAAAAGACACUGUUUUUCAACAAAAAAUAUCAGCUCUAUAGAACUGCUUAAUUGAAGUCGCCCGUGUAGCCUCAAUGUCUAUUCAGGUUCUGCAAUGCAGCUGAAGCCUGCAAUGAAUGUAUCAGUGUUUGGCUGAGAUACAGGAGCCUCAGACCACAAAAGAAUGCAGACAAAGGACUUUUUUUAAAUGAAAAGGAUGAAAAAGAGUGUUUUCAAAAGGGAAAAUGUAGCCUUUGGACACGACAACAUUAUAUUUGUUCUGAGUAAAAAUAAAGGGAGUCUCAUUCAAUAGACGAAUUACAUUGGCAAUAUAGCUAGUAUAGGAAACUGUCAUUGCUGAGGGCCAAGAUCUGAUAAUUUGAUCUCCAUUUGUGUUCAGCUGGUCAGAUGGGUUUUAGCAUAGUUGGGAGAGUGACAUAUCAGGAGCCUGCAGGCUUCCUGAAAUGUGUCCAGCUAAGCAUGGGUUCCCCUUGCAUUGUUACAACUACUGGUGGCUCCCAGGGUAUCAGUGUGAUGACAGUCUAAAGGUAGGUGGGUUUAUGAUGAGUGAAGAUGAUUAUAAUAGAAGAUUCUGUAUUUCCUUGAAUAAGGACCUUUCUCCAUAUUCCACCUCCUGAAUACCUCCUCUUAAUACUAUGUAUUUCACUAUUGGUGGGGAGGAAAUCACACAAAAUUAGGGAUUUUGAGCGUGCUCUCAAAAAAAAUGAGAAGGAUCUCUGCAUGAAAGCAGAAAACCCUGUAAUUUCAAAAGACCGAAAAUUGGCAGUCAAAUGGGGAAAACCUAUUCAGAUUCUUAAGGUUAUGAGUUUUUAUGUUAGUUUUACAAAUAAUUUUGUUACUUUUGCUGUUUCCCAACUUUUGUGGACUAAAAAGCACUCUUUCCAUUCCUGUCCUGUUAACAAAGAUCUCUGAACAGUAUUUUUCUCCUUUAUUAGUAUUGUCACUCACAAGGUAAUAAAUACAUCUGUUUUUACUGCCUUAAUGAUUAAAAAGAAUAUGGAAAAGAUGCAGAAAAAUGUGAGGAAAUAAGGAAGGGAAAAGAGCUGGAUUAGAGGUAAAUACUUCCUAGAAAGAGAGAUUAUCAAGGACAAACUGAUUUGUAGUUUGAGUCCUGAAGUAUUUACAUUUACUCUGUAACAACAGAGUUAUCAGUGGAGAGUGAGCUGACAACAGCAUGAUGUAAGAAGUAUUAUCAUAUUGGACAUGUGUGAGUCUAAUACCUAAGAAUACACAGUGCUAUCCCUAGGACAAGACUCCAGCUUUUCUGUUGCAGUUUGCGCUUCAGUACAAAAAGCUGACAAGGAAAACACUUACGGAAGACAGCAGAGUCCUAAAGAAUUUUCAGAAGGUAAAGGGGCCAUAACUUUGUCCACUGCAGUAAAUUAAAAAUUUUCUCAUAGUACUGAAAGUAGUUACAGAUAUGAGUAGCUCUCAUUUUGUUUUCUUCCGUCCUUCUGCCAUGAAAUGCCUGUAAACUGCCUUUCACUGGAAAUAUAUAUGACAUACAGAUGGAUAAUCUACAUAGUUCAAUACAAAAAUUUGCAGUCUUCUGGGUUUUUUUGAGGGCUUUAUAUUGGUUUUUGGUUAGUUCGUUGGUUGGCUUUUUACCAUGGCACCACCUGUGAGCAGGUAGGCAUUCUGCCUUUUUUUUGGUGCUGAACAUUGAAACAGUUCAUGCUUACCAGAAGAGUUCAUAAAGGUCCAUUAAUAUUCAGCAAUAGGAUAAUUCUGCAAUUAUAUUAUUGUAUGAUAAUUACUAAUUUGUGAGUUCAGUGCUGAAAAGUUUAAUACUAAUGAGGUUGUAACAGUCUAGUUAUAUUCAUGUGUGUUUACUAAAUGGAAAAGCACUUUUCUAUCGUGGGCAUUUUUCAGAAAAUCAAAAUAGACUAUUAGAAACCAAGUAUUUUGAGCUUCCAACUUUAAAAAAAUUAUUUUGAUCUGUUACAGGCAUUUUCUUUCAGUCAUACUUACAACAACACACAGCUUCUUAAAGUAAUUUGCAUUUUAUAAAAGCUGAAGAAUGGAAAAACAAUUUAAUAGCUUUGAUCGAGUACUUGGCCAGGACCCUUGACAAAUUUUGGAUGACAUCUGCUUGUUUCAAGCCAGCCAGCCAGCCAUGAUGCAAGAUACAGGAGUGUUUCUCAGACAUUUAUUUUUCAAUUUAUCUGAUAAGAAGGAAAGACAUGCAUACCUCAGUAGCAAUUAAGGGGAAAAAAAAAAAUCUAUAUAAUGGUAUCAGUCCCAUCUUUUUCAAUUUUAUUCCACAACCUUUAUCUUAAUCACCAAAUGUCAGUAGAGGAAUAGAUGAUGACAAGCAUCCUCAUCAUCAGGGCCUCCAUACUGGCUUUAAGGAGGCUUAAGGCUUUAAAUCAAGUAAGGGGUUUAUGUAUUUCACACUCAUGGUUGCAAGAAUCUAUUUUGCUAGGCUUUUAGGGGUCCUGCACUCCAGUUAUACAGACUUACUUAAACAACUGUAGUUUCUGAGCUGACAGCUCCCAAGUAACUAAGGAGAUGCCUACACUAUUUAUACAGAAGAAAAACUGAGCUGCAGAACUGUUCUUUUUUUGCUGACUCCCAAACAAAGUUUAAUGCUAUUUAUAUGUUUCUACUACAAAGCAAUUUGGUGUUUUUAGUGUCACUGGCCUCUUGCUAAACUCUUUGAUGAGUUUUGUUAGCAGUAUAGUUCAACAAUGGAGGCCUUAUGCUAUUUUAUUACUGCCUUAUUACUUUGAAUAUACAUAUGCACACACAUUCACUGGGUUCAGAUUUUUUUUCAGCAUUCACAGAGUGUAAUCACAGGAUUGUGACAUUCAAAAGAAGAUCCAUGUGAUUAAAAAAAUACAAACUUAAAGUAUAUAUGUGGUGGCACAACAGCAAGCACAUUUCCUCUUUGUCAGUUACAAAAGUGAAAAACAAAUGUCUACCAGAUGCCUGGAGUUCACAGUGAGGUCUGGACCAAUGAAGGUUAGCAGCAAUUUUGGAAGAUACUGUUGGCAAAAUCCUGAUCUGGAUGGACAGUUUCUCACAUAAAAUCCACAUUUUGCCUCUCAGCUUUGCACUAACCUGUUUCUGAGUGAGAUCUCUACGCAAUAAUUCUCAGCUGGAAACUGAAGCAACUCAGAUUUUUCCCUAAUGCAGGAUUCUUAAACCUUUUUGCACUUCCCUUACAUCUUCUUUUCUGUAGCAUUUUACAUGGUUAGUCUCUCCUACUCUUUCCCAAUGCAUAUAUAUUGUAACUCCUCUAGCCUGCCCCAAAUCUCUGCCUUCCUCAGACUGAAGCUAUUCAUACUGUUUAUUCUUCACUAUGUUUAUUCCUUCCCAAAGAAACUGCACUGUUCCUCACAGAGAAACAACCCAUUCAGUUCAAAUCUUACAGCUGCUUUUAGCAAUUUCAUUAACUCAAAGGAAAUGCCACAUUCUUCAAGGGGCUGCUGAACAGAAAGCGUUAGGAGUGUGGAAAACACGAAAGGCAGAGAAAAGCCUGCAUAGAAUUUCCUGGGGUUUUACACCAUGGGAGGAGGUAUGGGCUAUUACUCCUCUUUCUGAAAAAGUCCUUGCUCCAAUUUACAUGGGGUUUUUUGGUUGUUUCUAAGGAGAGGAAGUAGCAUCUAGGAAUUACUAAGGUAAAAAGGAUUCCAGACACACUCACCUGUUCUUUCUACACUCUUUCUGGUUGUUCCCAUUGGCUAACUAAAUUGUCUUUAUGGUCAAAAUCCCCUAAAUGCUUAUCUCAGGUUAACUUUAUCAGCUCGGGAACUACUCACAGAGAAAAAUCUUUUAUAUCUACUGUGAACUCUCUUCCUCCUGAUGCUGUCUAAAUGCCAUAAGUUGUUCAAAGGAUCUCUACAGUGUUCAAUUCCCAAUCAGUAAGAGUUCAAUGGUCUGGAAAAUAAGGAAGAGAGUGUCAGAAUCAGUUUCUGGGAUGCUUUCACAAAAGCUGUCUAUUCAGCACUGUGCUGGAGCCAGGAACAACCUAUCAGGCCUGAAGCAGCUCUCUCAGAGACAGCUUUAUUCCACAAAAUCUUCAGGGUUGUAAACACAGCCUUUAUAUUCUGAAAAUCCACAGAUGUUGUCAUGCCCCGAAUUUGUAUCUGGACAAUAAUUUCAAGCUUCCUUCAAGUUGACAGAAAGCAAGUGAGAAGUUCUCAUUUAACUGAAAAUACAAACAAAACACAGUUUUUAAUAUAGAUUUCAGAUACAAAAUUUACAAUACACCCCUCUUUUGCCCAGAUUGAAGCAGUGCAUACAAAGGAGGUAAGAUUGAGUUAGUCUCUACUCGGGGUUUCAUCUGUGCAGUAACAUAUGGAAUUUUCUACUGUUGAUAGCUCUGGCAUGCACAAUUAUUAUUGCCAAAGCAAUGAUUUAAGACUGAGAAAGGAAUGCAAAAAUUUGCAAAAGAAGAAUGUAAAAUAUGUAGAUAAAAUGGUGGUCCCAUCUCACACAAUUACAGAAAAUACAGCUUUCUAAGGGGAUUAAUGUGGGUUUGUUUUCUAGUCCCAGGGCAAGACAUUAGAAACGUUUAUAGCAAAAGAGAAAACAUAUAUUGAGAAUUUCUGGAAUAAUUGUCCCUUGUUUUACUGUGGUGCUUGCGCUAGCUGAAUGUUGAUAUACUGCUGCAGCACUAGGGCUCAUCCUUCUUUGGAUUAGCACGAAAGAAAAUGCAUUAGUUUGACACUUGUAGUAAAUGAGCCUUGAGCUUUUUCUGUUUUAUUCAUGGCUGGUUAGGUGUGCAGGUCACAUUCCAGCCUCAUUAGUGAAUGGUGGCAACUAAAGUCUGGUUAUUAAUUCUCCAGCUUGCAAGUUUUAGUAGCUGAAGGCCAAUAAUAUUGAAAUAACAUUGGCUGAACCAGAGAUUUCUGAGUCUAGCAGGACUUUUUGUUUCUUGAUGAAAAAUGUCUUGUUGAAAAAAAGUACCUGCUUAGUGCUAGACAGGUUUACAUAAGCUGACAUUACACCUGUUGUGUUAACAACUGGAAAAAUUACACGCUUGAAUGUUUCCAUUCUGAUUCUUCUUUUGGUAUUUGAUCAAGACUUCUGAACAUUUACAGGCCCAAUUUUUCUCUGGAAAGUUUGAAAACAGAUUUACUGAAAUAAAAGAUUGAAAUUACAUUUCCUGUUCUCCCCACAACGUGAAUUUUUGCCUUAGUUCAAUGGUUCUUGCUAACUUAAAAUACCAAAAUAUCUUUUAUUUCCAGGAUGUAAUCUCCAUCUUAUGUACUCUGAAAUACUUGAACAUUCUGCAUCUUCUACUAGCAGAAAAAUCAUAUUAAUUCUGCACCAUUACAAGGUCAAAAAAUUUCAGGGGAUGAUCACAAACUUUCAUUAUUUUCUUAUGUAUGACAAAAAUUAUAUUCAAAGGGGACAUGAAAGACAGUCAUCAUUGUUAAGAUAUUUCUAAUGUGCUCAUCAUCAGACUACUCUGGAAUGUUAAUGAAAUUAACUGAUGCUUAAUUCAAUUAAUACACUUGUUUCAUCCUUCUAAUUACAAUAGCACAACUUUUGUUUGUAUCACACAUUUGCAUGUCUUUGCAUAUACAUGAUUAUUCCCAUUUCUGUUAUUAACACAGACACAAUUUAUAGAAGUAAGCCAAGAUUGACUUUUGGCCCUUGUAAUACAAUUAAAGUCUAGAACUAGAUAAAAUAAAACAUUAUGUUGCAUGAAAGGAAAGCAUCUGUUCUCUCCUGUAAUUACAACUAAAAUGUAAAGAUGAUUUUGUAUGCCAGUUUUCAGUCUCUUAAUUAUCUUGUGAAUGCUAUUAACACUUUUUUUUUUGUAUCCUAAAAUUUAACCUUCUCUUUUCAAAACUGCUGUAAAAUUAGCAUUGUGGCUUACCUUUCAAUUUAAAAUUAAAUUCUUGGAAAAUCCACUGAAA